rnacentral:lncRNA from 1 species
GCCGCCUUGCAGUUUGAUCUCAGACUGCUGUGCUAGCAAUCAGCGAGACUCCGUGGGCGUAGGACCCUCCGAGCCAGGUGCAGGACAUAAUCUCGUGAUGAGCCUUUUUUAAGCCUGUCGGAAAAGCGCAGUAUUCAGGUGGGAGUGACCCGAUUUUCCAGGUGCCGUCCGACACCCCUUUCUUUGACUAGGAAAGGGAACUCCCUUACCCCUUGGGCUUCCUGAGUGAGGCAAUGCCUCGCCCUGCUUCGGCUCGCGCACGGGGUGCGCACCCACUGACCUGCACCCGCUGUCUGGCACUCCCUGGUGAGAUGAACCCGGUACCUCAGAUGGAAAUGCUGAAAUCACCCGUCUUCUUCGUCGCUCACGCUGGGAGCUGCAGACAGGAGCUGUUCCUAUGUGGCCAUCUUGGCUCCUCCCUAUGAACUCUUUUUUACAGCAGGACACUGAAGCAAAGAUCAAGACCUGCAAGAACCAGAAUGUAGUUAAAGUGGAAGUGGAAUCAGAAGAGGAGAGAUCAAUUGUUGGCUAAAGAUAAAAGAUGCAGAUGUCUUUCCCUCCCUCUGUGCCCUGGCUCACUCAUUCUUGGAACGUGCACCUUGAGAUUUCUGAGCCAAUGUGUAAGAAGUCCAACCACCCUGACUUAAAUGCUGAGUCACCGGUGCCUGGAGAGACCCCAUGGAGAGAGCACAGUGAGACAGAAUCACUUGAGGAGGCUAAGCUCUUCCAGCCCAUGCUGUUGGAACCUCUCUAGCCCAGACACCAAACU